CGAGUCAGUUAGACAAUCGCCUGUUUUACAGGAGGAAAGUCCGGGCUCCACAGGGUAAAGUGCCAGGUAAUGCCUGGGAAGCAUGAGCUUACGGAAAGUGUCACAGAAAAUAAACCGCUUUUUUAAAGCAAGGGUGAAAAGGUGUGGUAAGAGCACACCGCGCAGUUGGUAACAAUUGCGGCAUGAUAAACCCCACUUGGAGCAAGACCAAAUAAAAACUCAAUAGCGUGAUCCGCGCUGAGUUUGGGUAGGUCGCUUGAGCUAUUUGGUGACAAAUAGCCUAGAGAAAUGAUUGUCCACGACAGAACCCGGCUUAUCGACUGACUCAAGAA
rnacentral:RNase_P_RNA from 2 species